rnacentral:misc_RNA from 1 species
GAUGAAGAACGUAGCGAAAUGCGAUACGUAAUGUGAAUUGCAGAAUUCAGUGAAUCAUCGAGUCUUUGAACGCACAUUGCGCCCCCUGGUAUUCCGGGGGGCAUGCCUGUCCGAGCGUCAUUGCUGCCCUCAAGCACGGCUUGUGUGUUGGGCCUCCGUCCUCCUCCCGGGGGACGGGCCCGAAAGGCAGCGGCGGCACCGCGUCCGGUCCUCGAGCGUAUGGGGCUUCGUCACCCGCUCUUGUAGGCCCGGCCGGCGCUUGCCGACACAUCAAUCUUUUCUCCAGGUUGACCUCGGAUCAGGUAGGGAUACCCGCUGAACUUAAGCAUAUCAAUAAGCGGAGGA